rnacentral:lncRNA from 1 species
AUAUUGUACAUCUCCAGCUGCAACUGGGCAGUCCAGUUCAAAUAGCAAACCAUAAAGAAAAUCCAGGAAAAAAUAACUUUUGAGCAGCAGGCAAACUUGAAAAUAUUACGAGCUGUUUGUGGAGGGGAAUAGGAAAAGAAUUAAGACUACCUGAUAAUUUGUGAUGCAAGACUCAUUCAGCUCUUCAGAAUUUCAGAUCCAGGAGGAGCGAUGCCCUAGGGUUUUCUCCAUCCUGGCUUAGCACCAUCUUGGCAGUAGAUAAUGCUUUGCGCCUCCCUGUGCCAGCAGAGCAGGGGGAUAGGGCAAGAAGAGCAGGAGUAGGGUACAGCUCAGUCCCACAAACACAGCUGGAAACAUCACUGCUUGGAGACUCCCAAAAAACCUCCCAGGGUCCAGCAAAGCUGGAGGUCCGUGUUGAGGUACAGGGAGAUGUGAGAAGAAACUAUGCAUCCAUUUAGAAGUGUUCCCUUUGAGUUUUUGGUUUUGUUUGUUUGGGGUUUUUUUAUUUUUUCUCCCAGAAAAUAUUUCAAAAAGAAAGCUUAAUUUUUCUGAAAAUUUCAUUCUAGAGCUUUUUAUUUUUUUUCCUGCUUUCUCUAGUGUUGAUCUGCCGCAGCACUUGGCAGUGCCAGAAAAGCUUGAAGGUUAGAGAGCUCUGCUGCAAAGCCUGUGCUGCCAUUGACACAGGCUCCACCUUUGCUGACAGAGGCUAAGCUUUGGCCCCGCAAUUAUCAAACCAGCGACAGAGUGUGUUUUGCUUUUCCCAUAUCUAACUCCUGAGUAGAACCCCAAGCUGGUACCUCGCUUGUUGGCAGACACAGCAGGCUUCCCUGUAGGAUAGUCCAAGUGACCUGACAAACAGAAGGUUCUUCUUGAGGUGCAGGAGCAGCAAAGCUUGGUGCAGGGGUUUUGCUAGCACUGAGGUGAAAAUGGGCAGUAGGAGCUGCCCAGCAGUGGUGUCAGGAGCCCUGGCUCUGCCACAGGCCCUGGUGCUGCUGGCUGUGAGGACAGUUGCUCCUUUACCUCUUCUGGUAGCAUCUCCAUUCAAACAGUCCUGCCCUGUGUCUUCGCUCCAGAGGGACUGCAUAGCGAAGAAAUCAUGCUAUCCACAUCCCUAUGGCCAUCAUGCCAUGGCACAUCAAAGCUGCUGAACAGACCAGAGAGAAGGUGAGCAGCUUGGAGGUGCCCUUGGUGCCUAAACGUAGCACAACCAUUUCCUUAAUAACUGCUUUUAGGUGGACUAAUAAAAAGUGAGCAAGAUGAAAGCUCAGCUUUUCCUCUCCGAUGCAGCCAAGCCUGUACCACAUGCUUCUUGUUUUGCUCAUCAGCAGCGGGCUGCAGGAAGGAGAUAGGUCCAUCCCCUCCAUGGCACUCUGCCCAGGGUGCACCUGAAGCCACUCAACCCAGGGGAGAGAGACGAGUGGCCCCGGGGCGAUGAGAAGAACCCACGCCACCCCUCGCCCUGGAGUUACAGGGAAGCUGUCAGCCUGAGCAGAGGCAUCCUGUUUGUUGAAAACAAGUGACAGUUGAAGAAGGGUUGCAAGAGCGAGCAAACCGCAGCUCCUGCGCAGGGCUGAUAACAGCCCUGCACUGCCUCUGCAGCAGUUCCGUCCCUGCCAAGCACCGGCGGGGGGAUGGCGUGAGCCUUGCCGGCGCUUUCCUGUUUCGUGCUUCUUUCCCGCCGCUGUUGCUUGCUGUUGAGUUUGCCACGUUUUUUCAGUUAUUAGCUGGUUUCUCAAAAGGGCCCUCCCCUGCUAUAAACGGCAUGCCAGGGGCACCCCGGCACCUGCUCUCUCCCUCCAAGGGGAGACCAGCAGCAUCCAUGGAGCUGAGAAAGGGGAUGGGCCCCAGCAUUCAAGGAGGAGGCUGCAAAUAAGUACUUUUAAAAGUGUGCACCUGUCAUGGGUUGGGUUAUUAUAACUUUGUACCCAUGUCUACGUCCCUGCCAGACAGAGAUCUCAGAGCAUUUUAUGAGGCUUUGUUUAACCCCACAUUUCUGGAGGAGGCCAGAACUGGUAAUGUGAAAGGAAAAGCUUUUUCGGGCUCAGAGACCUGCAGUUAGGCAUGUAGACCUGUAUUUAAAUCUGAGAGUGAUGCAGACUUAGACCCUCUCUCGGCAACUGUGCAUGACAUUAUUGCCAUGACCAUCGCUGGCUCCCUUGGGUCUGAUGGGAACGCUUUUGUGGUGGUGAAGUGUGUGCAUGCAUAUGUGUGUGGUUUCUGUUUGCAGCAUGAGGAGCCUUGACUUUGUGUAUAACUAUGUAAAUGAUGCAACUCACCUCCUCAAAGCUAAGCACAUGUGCAAGGCUUAGAAAGCUCAAGCUCACAGAUGCAUGGGCUACAAAAGUAUUGGACACGUGUAUCUCCCUCUGCGGGAAGCUGGGACGUUCAUUGGGCUUCCCAUGACUCAGGUUUACUUGACUUACUUUAAGGUUCAGCCACAUGAUAACAUAAAUGGCUUUCCAUUCUUCCUCUCUGAUCAGAAUGCUGGGGCUAGCAGAAAAGGGGUUUUCUCUCUUCAACCAAGAAUGCUACUUUUCUUGAGCUUUGCAUAAAAUUCAUCGGUAUUAUCAGAUUGCUCUUUCUCCUGAAAGAUAUCUCAGGAAAUGUUUGUUUAAAGAAGCUUGACCAGCAUUCUUAUCAACCUCCAUUACAUCAUCCUGAUAAUUUUUUCUUCAUUUAGUAAAAGAUGGGCUUCUAGUAAGGAAUUCAAUUGUCAGGAAAAAGAUAAGUUGGAAAA